rnacentral:rRNA from 2 species
AAAUUGAAGAGUUUGAUCAUGGCUCAGAUUGAACGCUGGCGGCAGGCCUAACACAUGCAAGUCGAACGGUAACAGGAAGCAGCUUGCUGCUUUGCUGACGAGUGGCGGACGGGUGAGUAAUGUCUGGGAAACUGCCUGAUGGAGGGGGAUAACUACUGGAAACGGUAGCUAAUACCGCAUAACGUCGCAAGACCAAAGAGGGGGACCUUCGGGCCUCUUGCCAUCGGAUGUGCCCAGAUGGGAUUAGCUUGUUGGUGGGGUAACGGCUCACCAAGGCGACGAUCCCUAGCUGGUCUGAGAGGAUGACCAGCCACACUGGAACUGAGACACGGUCCAGACUCCUACGGGAGGCAGCAGUGGGGAAUAUUGCACAAUGGGCGCAAGCCUGAUGCAGCCAUGCCGCGUGUAUGAAGAAGGCCUUCGGGUUGUAAAGUACUUUCAGCGGGGAGGAAGGGAGUAAAGUUAAUACCUUUACUCAUUGACGUUACCCGCAGAAGAAGCACCGGCUAACUCCGUGCCAGCAGCCGCGGUAAUACGGAGGGUGCAAGCGUUAAUCGGAAUUACUGGGCGUAAAGCGCACGCAGGCGGUUUGUUAAGUCAGAUGUGAAAUCCCCGGGCUCAACCUGGGAACUGCAUCUGAUACUGGCAAGCUUGAGUCUCGUAGAGGGGGGUAGAAUUCCAGGUGUAGCGGUGAAAUGCGUAGAGAUCUGGAGGAAUACCGGUGGCGAAGGCGGCCCCCUGGACGAAGACUGACGCUCAGGUGCGAAAGCGUGGGGAGCAAACAGGAUUAGAUACCCUGGUAGUCCACGCCGUAAACGAUGUCGACUUGGAGGUUGUGCCCUUGAGGCGUGGCUUCCGGAGCUAACGCGUUAAGUCGACCGCCUGGGGAGUACGGCCGCAAGGUUAAAACUCAAAUGAAUUGACGGGGGCCCGCACAAGCGGUGGAGCAUGUGGUUUAAUUCGAUGCAACGCGAAGAACCUUACCUGGUCUUGACAUCCACAGAACUUUCCAGAGAUGGAUUGGUGCCUUCGGGAACUGUGAGACAGGUGCUGCAUGGCUGUCGUCAGCUCGUGUUGUGAAAUGUUGGGUUAAGUCCCGCAACGAGCGCAACCCUUAUCCUUUGUUGCCAGCGGUCCGGCCGGGAACUCAAAGGAGACUGCCAGUGAUAAACUGGAGGAAGGUGGGGAUGACGUCAAGUCAUCAUGGCCCUUACGACCAGGGCUACACACGUGCUACAAUGGCGCAUACAAAGAGAAGCGACCUCGCGAGAGCAAGCGGACCUCAUAAAGUGCGUCGUAGUCCGGAUUGGAGUCUGCAACUCGACUCCAUGAAGUCGGAAUCGCUAGUAAUCGUGGAUCAGAAUGCCACGGUGAAUACGUUCCCGGGCCUUGUACACACCGCCCGUCACACCAUGGGAGUGGGUUGCAAAAGAAGUAGGUAGCUUAACCUUCGGGAGGGCGCUUACCACUUUGUGAUUCAUGACUGGGGUGAAGUCGUAACAAGGUAACCGUAGGGGAACCUGCGGUUGGAUCACCUCCUUACCUUAAAGAAGC